UCCCACCGAAGAGGGACGCGGCUCGCACACGCACAGAUCUCACUGCCUGGUUAAUGUGUUCGGUAUACAAUGACAUGUGAGCGUCGGACACGAGUUAUUCACCCCUGAUUUAACAUACAAUUACUCUGUAGGAUGGCUAACUAUCAACUACCAAACACGGACGACUGGAGCACUGGAGUUGACGGUCUGGACAGAGGAACAGUUAGGAAAGAGAGGAACGGGAAAGAGGAAUAGCUGUGGACAAAUGCAGAGGAUGUGAUUGGCUAAAAGUUCUCUUAGUUAAGUCUUUUGAGUUCUGUUGUUUGGUGUUCGUAGUCCAUGUUAAAACAGUAAGGUGACAAGUUGUCUCAUGUUGGUGUUCUCUGAUGAAUUUUGCCAAUGUCUUUAGCAACUCUUAGAUCGAAUAGAGUGUUGGAGAUAACAUAGUGAUAAAACAAUGGAACGGUA